UAAAUAAUUCUUUUGUCUUUCUGUUAUAGGUACUCAGAGCCACUGCAAAUGGCAAGAUGGCCUUAACCUGGUCCCAAUGAAGAUAAACAAAUAAAGAACAAAGGCAAGCUAAAGUCAGAAACUAAGAGCCCUUAGAAGUUGUAUGCCACAUUUCCUGUGAAAUGAAGAUAAAGUGCAACAAAGGUGUUUGCCCAUACACAAGCAGUGAGAAAAUACCCCUACCCCCAAUUAAUAACAGUGCAUACAGUUGCUGGAAGAUCAUAUUUACAGAAGAGUUCAAUGUAGACUUUGAAUGAUUUUUAAAAUAAUACAUUGCAUGGAAGACAUUGUAAAAUUUCAUUGCUAUACAGUAUACACAGAACAUUGAAAAAGAAACAUUUUAUUAGACUUUCAGUAUUUAAUAAAAUGCAAGCUUUUGACUUACACAGAAUUA